CUUCUUUGGGUCUUCUUUCUCACAGACGCUUAGCUGCUGUCAUUAGCUAAUCAUGCUAAGUGUUGCGUGUUAAGUAUUUGGUGAGCAGUGAUGUGUGGGAGCACCAAACACUGAGCCGAGUUGAGGUACCAGGACACCUCCUUCUAUGUCCGCAUGGGGGGGUCAGAGAACCAUGAGACAAAAGCCUCCAAGCUGUGACGCAGUCAAGCACCAGUGUGACGUCAGAGGGUCCAGGAAUGUUGUAGAAGAUGGUCAGUGUGAGCAUCCGUGAAGAGGCAAGACAGGCCCAAGGCAGCGUGGGCGCUACAUGACAUCCACG